rnacentral:rRNA from 1 species
AUUGAACGCUGGCGGCAGGCUUAACACAUGCAAGUCGAGCGGAGUGAUGGUGCUUGCACUAUCACUUAGCGGCGGACGGGUGAGUAAUGCUUAGGAAUCUGCCUAUUAGUGGGGGACAACAUCUCGAAAGGGAUGCUAAUACCGCAUACGUCCUACGGGAGAAAGCAGGGGAUCACUUGUGACCUUGCGCUAAUAGAAGAGCCUAAGUCGGAUUAGCUAGUUGGUGGGGUAAAGGCCUACCAAGGCGACGAUCUGUAGCGGGUCUGAGAGGAUGAUCCGCCACACUGGGGCUGAGACACGGCCCAGACUCCUACGGGAGGCAGCAGUGGGGAAUAUUGGACAAUGGGGGGAACCCUGAUCUAGCCAUGCCGCGUGUGUGAAGAAGGCCUUAUGGUUGUAAAGCACUUUAAGCGAGGAGGAGGCUUACCUAGUUAAUACCUGGGAUAAGUGGACGUUACUCGCAGAAUAAGCACCGGCUAACUCUGUGCCAGCCGCCGCGGUAA